rnacentral:rRNA from 1 species
UACGGGGGGGGCAAGCGUUGUUCGGAAUUACUGGGCGUAAAGGGCUCGUAGGCGGCCAACUAAGUCAGACGUGAAAUCCCCGGGCUCAACCUGGGAACUGCAUCCGAGACUGCAUUGCUAGAGUAUGGGAGAGGGAAGCGGAAUUUCUGGUGUAGCAGUGAAAUGCGUAGAUAUCAGAAGGAACAUCAGUGGCGAAGGCGGCUUCCUGGACCAAUACUGACGAUCAGGUGCGAAAGCGUGGGGAGCAAACAGG